ACGGACGUAAAGUUAUACUGUUACACCGGCAGUUACCAUUGGAACAGUAAGAAGUCUGUGGUUUUCCUGCUGAAGUUCCUGUCGGACAUAAGUGUCCUUUGACCCCCGCAGUACCUGAAGGUCAGGUGACAGAUACUCUGGCUCUGCUUUAACACUUUACUGCUGGACUGGGCCUUUAGUCAGACUGGUUCCCUUGCCAAGACCAGACUGGCUGACCUGAAGGUAGGGCCUAGAGAGUCACUGAACCAGUAUGUGAGGCGUAUAUGGAUCAGCUGAGACAACCCAGUUAUUCCAAUGUAUCUAACUCUGACUGGUUGACUUACCAUACCACAAACCCUCUCAUUCAGCAGCUCAUUCAUCUCCUCUCCUCCAGCUGUAUGAACAGGGUCCCCCUCUCUCUGUCUGCAGGAGAUUGGCCUUUAUGAGGAUGUCUCUAGGGCAGGAGCUCUUGUGCAGGUUUGAGCGCCCUCUGCUGGUUGUGUCUCUUCAAUUAAUGUUUUUCAUGUGUUAAUUAUGUGUGUAUCAGUCUUGUGUGUUUGUGUGCAAUCUUCCUUCUCAGCCCCAGUGUCAGGCAGGUCAGGAUGUGGACAAGGCAGUCUCUUUGUUUGAGAGCACAGGAAGGAUAUCUGCCACAGUCAUCAUGGAGGGCUGGUAGGUACCCUAAAAAUAUAGCAUCAAAAUGCUGCAUAACUCUCACAAAUCACCUAUUGAGAUCAAUGUACCGAUGACUUAUACAUGUCGUAUUGUGUUCUGCACUGUGUCUUUUUGUAUGUGUCGCCACACUUGCACUGUUUUCCUACUCCAGCAUGUUCAGAAGGCCAUAUUUCCUGACUCGUUUUCUCCCUCCUAACUCCACGUGUGGUAAGACUUAUUCUCUCUUGCUUUAAAAUGAAUGGAUUUUAUUGAAUGGUGUGUUCACAUGCUCUGUCCAGGUAUUGUAUUCGUUGUCUCUGUCCAGUCAGCUGCAUGCAAAGCCUGAAAUAAGGAUGAAUUUCAUAGAUUCACUCAAAAAGUAAGUUCUGGUAUUCACACUCACAGCCAUACAACCACUGACUGAACACACAGUUUUCUGUUAUCGCUUUGAGUCUGAUACAGAUGUUUUGUGUAUGUUGAUUCCAGUUGUUUGUUCAAAUAGUUAAACAAAAACACACACACACACAUACAAAUCAAACCAGUCUUAUUAUCUCUGACUUGACAGAGUUGUCUGGCCAGGAUCUUCCACACGUUGAGUAUUGUGUUCCCUGAAUGUGCUGAGGAACUGGUUGGCCAGACAAUCAUCAAGCUUCAUGUAGAUGAGUCGACUUCCCCUGAGCUGCACAAUAAAGUCGGAAGGAAUGCCAGGAACUGCCAACUGUCCUCCUGUCUCUGCAUUUCUCCCUCUCUUCUUCUUCUUCUACUGUUUUUCUCCUCUUUUUCUGCUCUGUCUCAACUAUUUAGUUUCCUACUCUAUUUGUCUGUCGUUCUAGUUAUUUCUGAUGCCACACUCACUGUUUCAGUCUCUCACACUGUCUGUCUGUCCUGUCUAUGUUCAGGUGGAGAACAUGAUCCUCAGGAGCUUCUGCCAGAGACUUUUGGACGCCUCCGGAAUAAGAAAUAAUACAGAAUUGUCACUACUUGAUUUUCUUUCCAGUCCAUCUGCACAUAGUUGUGUAUAUUAUGUUCUUCUUAGCCUCCACAAGUGUAACUGCAAGUCAGCUUAAAACUGCACUUCUCUCCUUUGAGCUUAAUGUGCUCUGUGACCCAAGACCGAGCCCCUGGGUGUCCCAGUUUGUCAACAUCCUGCUGGGACACAGACAGCUGCUCACUGCCCUCCUGCACCGCAUGUGGGACCUGCUCCACAACAAGGGGAUCAUGUGGGAUCUGUCUCACUCUCCAUCUCACUUUCCCUCUCUCUCUCAUUCUCUCCAACUCAUUUUCCCUCUCUCUCGCUCUCUCCAUCUUAUUUUCCUGCUCUCUCUCUCUCUCUCUUUCUUACCCCCUCUACUUUUUCUUAUAGCCUCUCAUAGUCUUCUUUUGUCCUUCCCUAUAGGGGGGGGGGUCAUUAAAUUGUGCACCUUCAUGCCUCCCAGGCUGUGCCCACCCCUGCUGCCUGGCCCUGUGUCUGUUCCGGAGGCACUGGCACUGCCUUGCCCUGCCCUGCCCAAAACCAUAAUGCUCUUCUGUGUUAGAUUCUGCGUGGCUGCCAGUUUACUAUGGGCUCUGUAGAAUUGAGUCACAGUUUUAACCGCAGCAGUAGAAUCAUCCCUGCAGUCUCAAUAAAAAGAUGCUGUACCUCAUUUCCAGACUAAUGCCAGCUGCGAGGAGGUUGCCGAUUGAAGCGAGUGGGGAAUUUGAGCAUGUGGAGGCAGACAGACAGGACUGUGCUCAUGGCGGGGGCUGUCCCCUGAGCUGUAACUGUCCAUCAGGAGAAGUGAAUAUAACCAAAUCCCCGAUCAGUCUUCACUGUCCACUGCUCCUCGUCUCUGCUAGUGUACAGUACAUUAUACUACCAGGAACACUUCUGAUUGUUAAUCUGAGGUGAAGUACACCUUAAUCUGAGAGUUUUAAUAUAUUAUGCUGACUGAGUGUAAUUUGUGUGUGUGUUGGACAGCAUUUGUGGGGCUGUCUCUCCCCUGUGUUGGUGUCUCUGGUGUCGCCUUACUGACGGACAGCCCCUGCCUCAGCAGCUGCAGGUCCUGGCUGACUGUCACUUGUGGGCCUACAGAUAAAACAGGAUCAUGCGUACAUGCCUGUGUAUAUAGAACAUUUACUGAUAAUACUCCUAUACAAACUAAAUGUUUACUUUUAUUUCAAUGUUAUUUUUGAGAGUGAUGAUUAAGUUCAUGUGCUAGUUCAAAGAAGGGGUGUCAUGCCCCGUUCCCUCUGCCCCGCCUCUGCUCCUGGAAGCCUGUCUGCACUGUGUAUGGGAGGGCCAGGGGAGUGGCCAAGGCACUCUGGCAGAGCAGGCUGACAGCUGCUGGUGUUUCUGCUGUUCGUCUGUGUGAUCGACCUCACAAUUUUUCUCACACCCUAGCCUGGUCCCCCAUCUUAACUCUGAGAUGUUGGAGAGGACAUUGAAGGCCCCAGGGUUCCCGUGCUCUGCUACUCAUCCUUUAUCAAGCUCUUUAUGGAUGGCCAGACUUCUUUCCCUUUGACCGAGCACCCAACUGAUGAGAUGGACCCCUCCCAGAUUCUGACCCGGCCCAGUAGGUACUUCUCAAGACUCUCUGACAUCCCCAACCUCACUAUCUCAACAUCAGCUGAACCAGCUGGAGGUCUUAUGUGUUGACCUGGAAGCAGCUCUGAUCUUUCAACUCAGCCCUUCCAGCCUCAGCCAAGAGUUGGACUUCCUCUGCGUUAGGAAAGUAUUCAGACACCUUGACUUUUUUCAUAUUUUGUUACGUUAGCCUUAUUCUAAAAUUGAUUAAAUAGUUUCCCCCCUUCAAUCUACACACAAUAUCCCACAAUGACAAAGCAAAAA